UACGUAGGGGGCAAGCGUUGUUCGGAAUUACUGGGCGUAAAGGGCGCGUAGGCGGCCAGCACAAGUCAGUUGUGAAAUCUCCGAGCUUAACUCGGAAAGGUCAACUGAUACUGUGCGGCUAGAGUGCGGAAGGGGCAACUGGAAUUCUUGGUGUAGCGGUGAAAUGCGUAGAUAUCGAGAGGAACACCUGCGGCGAAGGCGGGUUGCUGGGCUGACACUGACGCUGAGGCGCGAAAGCUAGGGGAGCGAACAGG
rnacentral:rRNA from 1 species